rnacentral:misc_RNA from 1 species
AAGCGCCGGGCAUUGGCAUCGGGGCGGAACAGGUUCACGCCGCCGUCGUCGCGCUUGUAGGCCUUGAGGCCUUCGAAGAUUUCCUGAGCGUAGUGCAGGACGGCUGUGGCCGGAUCGAGCGAGAAAUUCGCGCGGGACUCGACGCGCGCGCCAUACCAGCCCUUCGCCUGGCUGUAGCGGACCACAGCCAGNNNNNNNNGGUGAAAACCCGCCCGAAGCCGGGGUCGACGAGCUUUGCGAUGCGCUCCUGAUCCGGCGUC